CUGUACAUGUAUAUAUACCGGCCUAUGGCCUCAUGGGAAUACAAGUUGCUUAUUCCUAACACUAGCAUGCUUCUACUCUGGUGAGGCCAAUUAGCGAACCAUGGCCUAAUCCAUGGCAAGUUGGUAACCUCUCCUAAUUAGCCACCAUCUUAAUCGUAUCCAUGGCGGCACCACUUGCAACACCGCGGCCAACUAGUUGCAAUGCAACCAUCUGUGCCGUGCUGGCGUGUUAAUCCUACAACUGUUAAUCCAUGGUGGCACACCAUUUGCAACACCACAAUGGUGGCGUGUUAAUGUAAAGUGAGUAUAAUACUAGCAUGAACUUUGCUUCGGUACAACC
rnacentral:lncRNA from 1 species